GACGAACGCUGGCGGCGUGCUUAACACAUGCAAGUCGAACGGAAAGGCCCUGCUUUUGUGGGGUGCUCGAGUGGCGAACGGGUGAGUAACACGUGAGUAACCUGCCCUUGACUUUGGGAUAACGUCAGGAAACUGGGGCUAAUACCGGAUAGGAGCUCCUGCUGCAUGGGGGGGGUUGGAAAGUUUCGGCGGUUGGGGAUGGACUCGCGGCUUAUCAGCUUGUUGGUGGGGUAGUGGCUUACCAAGGCUUUGACGUGUAGCCGGCCUGAGAGGGUGACCGGCCACAUUGGGACUGAGAUACGGCCCAGACUCCUACGGGAGGCAGCAGUGGGGAAUAUUGCACAAUGGGCGGAAGCCUGAUGCAGCAACGCCGCGUGCGGGAUGACGGCCUUCGGGUUGUAAACCGCUUUCGCCUGUGACGAAGCGUGAGGGACGGUAAUGGGUAAAGAAGCACCGGCUAACUACGU
rnacentral:rRNA from 1 species